rnacentral:rRNA from 1 species
UACGGAGGAUCCGAGCGUUAUCCGGAUUUAUUGGGUUUAAAGGGUGCGUAGGCGGAUUAAUAAGUCAGUUGUGAAAGUUUGCGGCUCAACCGUAAAAUUGCAGUUGAUACUGUUAAUCUUGAGUGUACAUAAGGUAGGCGGAAUUCGUGGUGUAGCGGUGAAAUGCUUAGAUAUCACGAAGAACUCCGAUUGCGAAGGCAGCUUACCGGGGUACAACUGACGCUGAGGCACGAAAGUGUGGGUAU